CCCCUAGAUGUUCUGGGCCGCACGCGCGCUACACUGAACAGUUCAACAAGUCUUAACCUUGGCCGAUAGGUCUGGGUAAUCUUUGAACGCUGUUCGUGAUUGGGAUAGACCUUUGCAAUUAUGGGUCUUAAACGAGGAAUUCCUAGUAAACGAAAGUCAUCAGCUUGCAUUGAUUACGUCCCUGCCCUUUGUACACACCGCCCGUCGCACCUACCGAUUGAAUGGUCCGGUGAAAUCUCGGGACGGCGGCUUGGUCGCUUGCGUCCGACUGCUGAAACUUGAUUAAACCAUAUCAUUUAGAGGAAGGUGAAGUCGUAACA
rnacentral:rRNA from 1 species